rnacentral:lncRNA from 1 species
GUUCCGUAACUAUGCUCAGGUAUUGGGUUUGGAAUCCUAAUAGUAGUAGAUUAGAUCUAUUGUUGUGUGCUAAUUUUUAUUCACAUGAUUAUUUUUUAAAUUUAGAUUUUUAUGCAUGUAAAUUCAUGUCAUAGAUCUAUUUGUAGGAGUUUUAAGAUCAGAUCUUGUGUAUAUAUUUAUAGAUUAAAUAGUUUAAUCUAAUAUUCUUUCACUGUAAAAUUUUUAAAAUGC